GGCAAGUUGGCCGCCAGUGCGGACCUUCGACUCCAUUGGCCAGCAGAAUAUGCAUGUCUGCGUCUCCCCCGCCUCUCCUCAUAAAGCGCCCCCACCGUGACGGUUGUUAAUCGUUUUUUUUUUGCGUUGGAUUGCGUGGGCUGAACAAUCCGGACAUCGUGGCCACCGACGUGGACCCCCCGCCACCGGGACCCACGCAGUGAGUAACGCGGGGUACUUCCUUCAUGAGCGCUGCACAUGUUACACUCUCCCCAUCUCCUCCUGUCCUCUGUUCUCGCCCCUCUAUUGUACAUGUUUUACCGCUGGAGGUUAAUGUGGUUUUGCUGAUGGAAGUGGUAGUUUGUGUUGAGUGGUUUGGUUUAUCUAUGGGAUCGACUGACUAACUAACGCUGCGGACCGCUACAGCACCGACCACCACACUGGGAAGUGUCCUCUGCUCACUGUGGAAGCAGCAUGGAAGAACUGCAGCAACUCUGUUGGAAACGAGGACCUCCACGCUGUUGAACACAAACUGUUCUAGGCCUACUACAAACCGAGGCGGUCCCACUCGGUUAAAGAUCUCGUGGUCAAUGCGGCAGACCGCUGGACCUGGACGUCACCUUCUGCAGAUACUUCACUGCCCUCAGGAAUCCACGGAUAACUUGAAAAAAGUCCGACUCCACAUGUCCGAAGAAUCCAGGAUGGAAACUUGUGGAAGGAAGAAAGGGGUCUGUUUUUGCUCAACCCAUAACCCCACUGAGCCCUUCUGUGGAAACCUGCCUGACUGACCCUACUGACUGGGGGCCUGUUGUGUGUUUGGUUGGUCUGGUAGAAGGUUUGCUGCUUGUGAUCUGCAAGGUGGUCCUUGGUUAGAUGCGGUGUCUGACUUGCACACCACUCUCCCAAUUCUAUUCUUCUCUUUACUACUUUCAAUACACUUGCUGCUGCUGCUGUUGACCGCUGGUGGUGCAAUGUGGUUUUUAUUCGCGUAUGUUCUGUGGACUUUGCAUUUGUAUUUUAAUGAACAUGUUUACUGCCUGUUAGACCUCUGAUUGGCAUACCUAAACUCCUUCACUGGCAAAAUGUAGAUGCAAAUUAAAUGCCAAAAUUAACAUUUCAAUAUUCGGUUUGCGUAUUUCACCAAUAGCUUCGGAACUAAAUGGACCUCGUAUAUAAUUUGCUCUUCAAAGAUGCGGUCAGGCGCCCCUCCGUUACGUUUUCUGCCCGGUACGAAAUAGACCGACCAAUAGCAUAGCAUCGACCCAUUUUAGAUCGCGCCCUUUAGACACGCCCCUUGGAAAUUGAACAACGCAGAGGAUCCAGAAGGAUUUCACAACGAGUCCAUUGGAAGAUAUCGAGGAACAUGAACAUCACCAAUGAAGGAGAGUAACGUUUCCACUUGCUAUAGGAAUUUAGUGAAGCACUAAAUAGUUAAUAAUAAUAAUGAUAAAAUGUGGUCACCAUUUAUUGACUUUUUGGGUAAGACUUGCUUAACCAUUCAUUUACUUUUCUUGUGUAGUUUCCCACUAUUCAUUAAAUGUUUUAUAGAAGUAAAAAUAGUAAUCAAUAGAACAUACACAUUUGUACAACAAUUAAUCAUUAUACAGGAUUUGAACAUUUUCUAUUCGAGCUCAUGCUUCAUAAUAUUUCCAAGGAUUGCAGAGUACCAAAUGAUUUAUGAACAGUUUUUUGUUCAGGAGCGGAUUGUACUCCCAGAGGCUUCAACAGAGCGGGUCUGGAGCUGGGAGCUGCAGGUGGAUGGUGGCCAGGAGCCGUUCAGUCCUACAGACACAGACGGUAGAGGUGAUGGAGGCGGUCGUCUGGAGGGGCUCGUCUGGAGGUCCGUGGCAGUCGUCUGGAGGUGCUCGUCUGGAGGUCCGUGGCGGUCGUCUGGAGGUGCUCGCCGUGAGGUCCAUGGCGGUCGUCUGGAGGCGCCUGCUGCAGGUGGAGGGAAGGCCGGGAGCCGUGCAGCCCAACGGAUGCAGAACGAAGGACUGAGGCGGAGGUCCUGGAGGCAGAGGCCAGCCUGGAGGUCCUGGAGGCGUCCAACCUGGAAGGGGCGGCAUGGAGGGCCAGGUGGCGGCUCCUCAUCCAAAGGGCCUGGAGGCGGCCAACCUGGAAGGCCUGGAGACGGCCGAGAUCCUGGAGGCAACGGCGGGCCUGGAGGUGGAGGCCAACCUGGUGGUCCUGGAGUCGGUGGGCCUGGAGGCGGUGGUGGGGACCAACCUGGAGGGCCUGGAGGCGGUGGUUGGGACCAACCUGGAGGGCCUGGAGGCGGUGGUGGAGACCAACCUGGAGGGCCUGGAGGCGGUGGUUGGGACCAACCUGGAGGGCCUGGAGGCGGUGGUUGGGACCAACCUGGAGGUCCCGGCGGUGGCGUCCACCUGGCGGCGGUCAGCCUGGAGGGCCCAGCGGCGGCGUCCUGGAGGGCCCGGAGGAGGCGGCUCCUCAUCCAAAGAAAUGAGGCGACGUUGCGGAGGUCCAGGCGGUUGGCCCGGUGGAGGUCCUGGAGGAGACGGUCCCGGCGGUGGAGGACGGCUGGGGGAUCCGGCGGUGGAGGUCCGAAGGCGGCUCGUGAUUAGACCAACCAGCUCCUCAUCCAUGGAAGGAUUGAAGGAGUCACUUGGGAUGAAGAUCACUGCUCGGGGGCUGACGACCACUCAUCUUUCCGGAGAAGCGUCCUCAUGGUGCAGGCGGUCAAACCUCCACCUCUUUGAAGAGACCAAGCAGCUUGAUGACUGACUGGUUCUUUAUACUCAAGACCUCGUCCCGGAGCAGAGGACGGACCUAAGGCCCGCAGCGCAGCCGACUAGAGACUCCAUGUGGAACCUGUAAGAUACUGGAUUGACCAUCUUGAAGACAUUUUCAUUUAUUCAACAAGGUUCAAUUAAGUUGACCUCUCCUUCAGGCGACUUAAAGGGAGACCAGAUGUGCAGCAGCUGGGUGUCAUGGUGCAGAGACCCAACGCUGUACUGAACUACACCAGUGUGGCCUACUCCCAUAAACCCUGAGGAUCCCUGGAUGGCUACACCAGUGUGUCCUACUCCCAUAAACCCUGAGGAUCCCUGGAUGGCUACACCAGCACAUUAAUCCACACCCAACAUCAACACAGUGCACACUCUAUAGAGCUCGUAAGUCCGCCCCUUGCGGCGGGACCUUGUGAGAUCGUAAGAUAUGACUGGGUUUCAAUGGAGAGAAAGUAAUUUUUUCUCCAUUUUAUGUUGCACCACAUUUUGGGGGAAGAAUGUUUGAAUCAAUCUUUGUCAUUUAUUUCUGUACUCCAUAUCUGUAAUCCCAGCUGUUGUAUUUUAACACGGUAGCUGGGAACCCUCUUUAUAGGGAGCGACUAGAGGGACGAGGCUGGAAGCAAACCUGAGCCUGGAUCUUAACCUUCUUUCUAAACCUAAUGCCGCAAUUUAACCGCAAAUAAAGUGAGGCCUAAAGUAACUUGACUCUCUUACCUAAACUUGCUUGCCUAAACUCGCUUGUCUUAACUCACUUGCAUAACACCUAAACUCGCUUGCAUAAAACCUGAACUUGCUUGGCUAAACUCGCGUCGCUUGCCUAAUACCUGAACUUGCUUGCCUAAUACCUGAACUCGCUUGCCUAAACUCGCUUGCCUAAACUCGCUUGCCUAAACUCGCUUGCCUAAACUCGCUUGCCUAAACUCGCUUGCCUAAACUCGCUUGCCUAAACUCGCUUGCCUAAACUCGCUUGCCUAAACUCGCUUGCCUAAACUCGCUUGCCUAAUACCUGAACUCGCUUGCAUAAAACCUCAACUCGCUUAGCUUGACUCGCUUGCCUAAACUCGCUUGCAUAAAACCUAAACUCGCUUGCCUGUACUCGCUUGCCUAAUACCUGAAGUCGCUUGCCUAAAACCUAAACUUGCUUUUCCAAACACGUUACACAAAGUUAACCAUCCAUAAUCUUUAACCCAAACCAGACUUGUCCCUGGGUCGCUCCACUUUAAUUUAGAAGUUUCUUCUUUUACCUUAUCUGUGUUUUGAGUUUCAUUCUUUGAGGGCUUGAAGUGCUUUGGAGGAUAUUUGAACCUUUGUUUGCCGCAUCAAUAAACAUGCUUUAUCUUUACCCAUUUUGGAUUGCAUUUCUAUGUGUAAUCCGGCCAAAUGUUCAGUGUCCUUACAUGUAAUGUCUAUGGUCUGACGAUAAUCUGACCUCUUCAUGAAGCAGAAUGUGUGUGAAUGUUGUCCCGUGAGCGUCCAGGCUCUCUGUGGGCCUGUCAACGUCUCUUUAGCAAAAGGUUGGAGAGUGAAAUUCAUUUUUGUGCCAUUUUCAUGUGUUCCUGAGUAUUUCAGACCUGUGGUGUUUCACAUGAGACCUUAAUGGGAACUUUUCUUUUUCGGCCUGUAUACGUAAUGCCUACAUUAGUAGGGUGAUCACUGUUGAUCCCAAUAUUGAUCAUUAACCACCUUCUUUGGGAUUACAAAUCAUGUAAUUUAUGAGCAUAUUUGCAAAUGCCUCUAAAUAUCAGAUUGUGUAAAAAAAAAACAAAUGAAAUGUAACCUGCUUGAUUUAAAGAAAAUAAAACAUCCAAAUAUUAUAAACCUGUUUUGUGUUGCUCUCUUACCAUGUGGAAAUUAGCAGAUGGAUAUGUUUAGCUCUGAUUUGCUGCCUCCUUUUGGUGUGGUGCUGGGAUUUGUUUAAUAUACUAUUAUUUCCAGGAUAAGUUAAUAACCUAGUAUAGCCUACCCGGAA
ensembl:lncRNA